rnacentral:lncRNA from 1 species
UAUAAUGGAUAAAAAAACGUACAAAAUUUAUCUGAAUUAUAUAUCAUUUUGAUUUGACUGCUUAAUUUUUCAAAAAUUUUGAUUUUACUAUCUAACUUUUCAAUUUGUUUAAUUUGAACCGGUCAAUGUCAUUUAGACUUCAAAAUUGAAUGCAUUGUUUAUGUUUACAGGUUUAAUUAGUAUAUUUCAUGUAAUUCUUGCAGCUAUAAAUAUAUUAAAAUAAGUAAUUAAUUUAAAUUUUAAAGUCAAAGUGUCGCGAAGUGAUCCAAAUCAAAUAAAUUAAAAAUUGGAUAGUAAAAUUAAAAUUUUAAAAGUUUAGAUAGUGAAUUCAAAAUAGUCCAUUGUUCAGAUAAGUUUUAUAAAUUUUUUACAGUGAUCAGUAACGAUGUCGUCUU